GUAGGUGGCAAGCGUUGUCCGGAAUUAUUGGGCGUAAAGCGCGCGCAGGCGGUUCUUUAAGUCUGAUGUGAAAGCCCACGGCUCAACCGUGGAGGGUCAUUGGAAACUGGAGAACUUGAGUACAGAAGAGGAAAGCGGAAUUCCACGUGUAGCGGUGAAAUGCGUAGAGAUGUGGAGGAACACCAGUGGCGAAGGCGGCUUUCUGGUCUGUAACUGACGCUGAGGCGCGAAAGCGUGGGGAGCAAACAGGGAUUAGAUACCCUGGUAGUCCACGCCGUGAACGAUGAGUGCUAAGUGUUAGGGGGUUUCCGCCCCUUAGUGCUGCAGCUAACGCAUUAAGCACUCCGCCUGGGAGUACGGCCGCAAGGCUG
rnacentral:rRNA from 1 species